UCAUGUCAGCUAACGUAUCACGACUAAAUGUAAGGGUAAAGCGGCUGAUGUAUUGUCCAGGCGCAAAAUCAUAUGGCCUGACCACAGAACGUGCCGCUUACUCUGGAAGGUGACUUUAUAAAUUGCCGCCGAAUUAUGUGACGCUGAAACGCGCAUUUUU
rnacentral:sRNA from 1 species